AUAGUAACUCCGCCUGUAGAUCUUCUAGAAUUACUGCCGGUUCCAAGCCCGGGCAAAGGAGGAGGGUUAG
rnacentral:ribozyme from 1 species